rnacentral:rRNA from 1 species
CGCCUAAUACAUGCAAGUNGAACGAGAAAGCACUUCGGUGCGAGUACAGUGGCGGACGGGUGAGUAACGCGUAGGAAUCUACCUAGUAGUGGGGGACAACUCGGGGAAACUCGAGCUAAUACCGCAUACGCUCUAUGGAGGAAAGUGGGGGACCUUUGGGCCUCACGCUAUUAGAGGAGCCUGCGUUAGAUUAGUUAGUUGGUGAGGUAAGGGCUCACCAAGGCUACGAUCUAUAGCUGGUCUGAGAGGACGAUCAGCCACACUGGAACUGAGACACGGUCCAGACUCCUACGGGAGGCAGCAGUAGGGAAUCUUGGGCAAUGGGCGAAAGCCUGACCCAGCGAUGCCGCGUGUGCGAAGAAGGCCUUAGGGUUGUAAAGCACUUUCAGUUGCGAAGAAAAGCUGCGAUCUAAUACAUCGCGGUCUUGACGUUAACAACAGAAGAAGUACCGGCUAACUCCGUGCCAGCAGCCGCGGUAAUACGGAGGGUACGAACGUUAAUCGGAAUUACUGGGCGUAAAGCGCGCGUAGGCGGUUUGAUAAGUGGGAUGUGAAAGCCCCGGGCUUAACCUGGGAACUGCAUUCCAAACUGUCAGACUAGAGUGUGGUAGAGGGAGGUAGAAUUUCCUGUGUAGCGGUGAAAUGCGUAGAUAUAGGAAGGAAUACCGAUGGCGAAGGCAGCCUCCUGGACCAACACUGACGCUGAGGCGCGAAAGCGUGGGGAGCAAACAGGAUUAGAUACCCUGGUAGUCCACGCCGUAAACGAUGAGAACUAGCCGUUGGGGCCUUUAAGGCCUUGGUGGCGCAGCUAACGCGAUAAGUUCUCCGCCU